UCUCAUUAAUCGCUCCUCAUAUGGAAGCCAUUCCAUACCCCUAAUAAUUUUUGUUGCCCUUUUCUGAACCUUUUCCAGUUCCAGUAUGUAUUUUUUGAGAUGGGGCAAACACAUCUGCACACAGUAUUGCCUGUGCUUCUCCCAUUCCAGGUCUCUCUAAACCAGCCUCCCGAGGGAGAUGCUCUCAAGGACCAGACUAACACGGCUGCUACUCUGAAACCUGAACGAGGCUUGGAACUGUGAGCAAAGAAACUCUCUUCUGUUUGAUUCCUACCAUGCUGAAGGAAACAAGACUUUGACCAUUCUUUGUAAAUAAACAGGAUUGCAUUUUAAAAAAAAAAAAAAAAAGCCUGUCUCCAUCAUCAGUUUCUUUUCCCACCUGAAAAAACCUGCAGGACCCUGGAAAUUAGCUAUCCACUUGGGACAAACAGAGCACCUUGCACAAUGGGAUCCUGGUCCAUGAUGAGGUCACCUGGGCGCUGUGGUCAUACAAAUAAUAACAGUAGAGCAAGGAAAUGAAUUCAUUAUCCAAACUUCUGCUCCUUCGCUCUAAACACUAGCUCACAUUUCCUGUAUGGCAUCUGGUAAAGAUGUUAAAUAUAAUACACUAUUAUCAUUCCUAAACAGACUUCCUCCCUAAAAUUAAUGUGAAAAUAUAGCCUACCUUGAUGAGAGAACAUUCCAUGUGGUAAUACAGAAACCAGUUUGCUUUGCCACUCAUUGGCAGAAAGAAAGCAUAUCAACUUGUCAUUUCUCUUGAAGUACAGGAUUUGAGGGAAACAUUAAGGAACUGUUAAGUUCUUAAGUGUUGCUUAAUUACUGAGUCAUCAGUGUAGCACGAUAUUAAUAUAUUCCAUGACCAGAUUUUUUUUUUUAAGACAAUGCAAAAAUCUGUAAAGCAAAAAUUGUAGUUCUGAGGCAGGGGCUUCAGGCUUAAAUUAGCAAUUCAAAUUAAAACAAGUUGAGCUAGUUACUGGAUCAGAUUUUUUUUUUUUAAAUUGGAAGAUUAUAUGAGCCAAACUAUAUGUUUUUAGAAUCUUGUUACACAGAAGAAGAAAAUUCUGCCUCAGGACUGGUUGAAAAGAGUCUUUUGACAGCUUACUAAAUUUCUGUUUACCUUCUUAGCACCGGAUUUCAUUACUGUUGAACUAUCAGAUUUCAAUGGGGUUCUGCACUGAGACAGGACUAUGCCUGGGUGCAUCACAUCACAGGGUAUUGACGUGUAUGAAACAUAAAUUAUAUGUUUCUGUGUGUGACAGUAUCACACACCAUGCUCUAAAAUAUAUUUUAAUCACAUUAUUAAAAAAUUGUGCCUGAAUAUAAAAAAUCACUAUUUGGCAUCUAAUUUCUGGGGUAGAAUGCUUUGUUUCCUCUGCCUUGGCUUGAUACCUGCAACAUUUAGAAGAUGAAUUUCAAGUGCUGCAGGGCAUGGGAUUUGCAGGUUGCUCAUGUUAAUUUCAACCUAAAUUCUCCAUCCUGGGUCUUCAGAGUAAAGUGGAUACAAAUACAUGUUUUUAAUACAUUUUAAAUAAAAACAAAUUUUAAAUAAAAACUAUUUUUAUUUUUAAAUAUAAACCUGCUUAAACUUAAAUUUGAAAUUGACAACCUAUGUUAAGGUCUAAAUUUACUGUAAUCUAUUAAAAUUAAAAUUUUAAAAAUAAUCUGCAUCAAUGACCGCUCUUUGAAUUUUGGGUUGUUACUUUUUAAAUUAUAUAUAGAAUUAGGGGGGAAACAUCUUUAACUUUUGAGAUCAACUCAAGCUUUAUAAAUGUCACAAUAUCAUGUAUCGCAUUAAGUAUCUAUCUGUUACUCUCAGUCUUUAGGAUGGAGAGAAUGCUGCUAUUUACAUUUUUCCAAAUGUAAGUUAUUUCAGUUUCUGUUGCCCAGAAAAUAUUUUGCCUUAAUUACUUUUCUUUUCAGUUUAACUAGCAGGUGGAGAGAGAGUUGAGCACUAAACUUCUGAAAAUCUCACUAGGCACUUAUCUGGAUCUUUAGGUACAUAUCCAUGGUAAGAGUAAACAAUCCAUCAGUUCACUAUUUUACUGUUCAUUCUUCCAUUGAUUUGCAUUUAAAACUGAUUUAUUAAACAUGUUUUGAUAAACUUACUUUUUUCUUGAUAUAAUCCAACACAUUUAAGGUAGUUUUGUUUAAUAAAAACAUUUUUAAAAUGCCGUUUUUGUAUGUUUUAAUCAAAUUUCUGUUUCUGUCCAAAUACAGCUUGAUACAAAUAGAUAGUAAAAAAAUUAUCUAAUAAGAAAUGAAUCAUUCACCAUUCUCUAAUAUAAAGUAAAAAUUAACAAUCUGAAGAAAUGUAUGUUAAGCUAUGUAAUUACUGACGUAUAUAUGUAUAGAUAUAGUGCUGUCCUUGUUAGAAAAACAAACAACCCACCAAAUUUGGUGCAUAGGCAAUCAAAUGUGUUUUAAUUAUUAUGCUAACCAAUGAAAGAGGUUUGUUAUUUAGAAAAAUAAAAAGUACAAAUGCAAAAUAAGAUUAAAUUCAGUUAUUUAAAUCAAAGUUUCCUGUUUACUGAUCUGAUUUUUAAAUCACUUUUAUUAACAUCAAUCCUCCCCUUUAAGAGUGUAUUUAUCCUCUGAAUUUAGGCAAGCCCUGCCAGCUCAGUGUUUGAAAGCACAAGGUCUUUCAUACAACAGCAAAAUGCCGAGUCUGACAAAUCAGACCUGCAAACUUUGCAGUUUUUUUUUAAUUCAAUCACUUCUGUAGCUUUUUAUUUUUUGAAACUUAAUACUAAUAACUAGUAAGUUUUUUGUUGAUGUAUUUUAAUUUUUUUAGUGACUUCAGUACUGAUGAAAAGUAUGGGAUUGACAGCUCUUGACCAUUGAGUUCUCUUAUUGACCCACGGUAAAAAAAAUAUCAUUGGCACUGGCAUUACAAAUUUCCUCAGAGGGUCCUCCUAAUCAUUUACUUCAACCAUAACAUGAUAUGCUUUCACUACCUCUAGGGGGCAGAGGAGUUCAAUCUUUAUGCCCCUUCAAUCCCUGUCCUCUGCUGAAACUGUUAAUUAGUGCCAAUUGUAAUAAGGACAAGCAAUCACUAAAUACUGCUCUAAGACCACCAAACUUAUCUGUCAUUAGGUAACCAAGAUUAUAUAAUGACUCCCAGUAGCUACCAGUCUAGGCUAGAUUUGAACUGGCAACCCAUAGGUGCAAGGCUCUGUAUCCCAAUGCAAAGAACCAAAUAUCUUUUUAAAGCAAAAAUCUGCUCCUUAUUGCCUUUUUAUAUUAAUUAUAACAGAAUUUUUAAAUGCAAUCCCAGCAUCCCCUCCCCAAUUAGAGAAAUUUUGUAUAUUACCAUUCUAUCUUCUGCCAUUGUUUUCAUUUCACAUUAUCUACCUAAAAAAAAAUAUGCUGAUUUUUCUUUCCAAGAAAAACAAAAUAAUUCAGGUGGAUUGCUAUGUAGUAAUAUCUGCUUAACUGACUGACUUUAACUGCAGUUUGUAAAGUAGAUAAAACAUUUUAAAAUGAGAGGCAACAUAGUCCAGUGACCAGGACACCUAGGUUCUGUUUCUUCCAUUUACAUGCUAUGAGAGGCCCACCGUCUCUCUGCCUCUAUUUCUUCUUACACCCUUUGUCUGUCUUGUCAGAUUAGUCUGUAAGCUCUUUGGGGGAGGGACUAUCUCUUAGGAUGUGUGUGUACCUAAGAGAAUGGGGGCCUGAUCUCGGUUGGAAUUUCUAGAAACUACUGAAAUACAAAUAAAUAAUUAAGAGUAGCAUAAGUACAGACACAAAAACAGUUGCAACAGGUACAGCAGCUGGUGGAUGGGGAGAUGAGUCCCAUCUGGAGCUACUUCUCCAGUUCCAGCUCAACCUGGACCCAAAGCAAAAGGAGUUGCAACUAGGAGCUUUGGAACAUGCAGACGCUGAUGAUGUCAUCACACUCUCUCUUCUCAGUUUUUACUCUGGACAGUCUCUUCUCCUGUGCUGAUUGGCUGUGUGCUCCAACUUCCCCUGCCUCCUUCCUCAGUGUUCUUUCUAUUUGCUUUGUUCCAUCUCCUCUCCACUACCUCUGUCUCCUCUUCCUUCCUUUGGGUUUUUGUUUAGCUAAUUCCUCCUAGUAAAACCCCAUCCAAAAACCACCAGCCAGCCAACGCUUUGGAACUAACAUGUUAUUUGAAAACCAUUACAUUUCUUCUUCUGCCUGUAUGUUAUAUUCCUUUUGUCUUGUCUAUUUAACAUUGUAAGCUCUUCAAGCCAAAGACUGUCCCAUACUCUGUAUGUACAUUUCCUACUACAAAUAAUAAUAUGUAAGCAGAGUCAGGAUGAGCUCUACCCUGACAUCUGGUGGCAAGUCAUGGUGGGUUGUGGAAAAGAACUUCAACGGCUGAUCUCAUUUGCAUAGGCACACCCAUCCUGCCUAGAUGGUUACUUUGGCUGCUGUAGGAGCCCCAGUUUCUCUGUUAUUAGGGCAUGAAUAAACUGUUAUUAUCCUGAUUAUGUGAAUCAAGGACAGUGGAACUGUACUUGGCCUUUUGUUACGAUGGAGGGACUCACCAUCAACUAAGCAGCACUUGCUAGGCAAGGGUCAUGGGUUCCAAAACCUAGUGAAUAGAAAGAGGUUGGGGAUAUUAAUACUUGGUGGUAUGGGUCCCCUGGUGAGGGCUUUACAUGCUAAUUGCACUUUCUUCUCUCUCCACUGUGGAAUAUCAGAGCUAAUUUUGAUUCCAUUAGGAGUCUAGUUAUAGGCUACUGAGCUGAAUUCACUUUGGGCUAAUGGUGCACCAUCACUAAGGCUCCCCUGCUACAAGCUGAAAUCACAAAAGAGCUAAACUUAAUAAGAGCUGAAAUCAGUGAGUGUUGUGUUAAAUAGUGGGGGAGCCUGAAGAUAUAUUGUGGAGUAGAGCAGUUUGUGGGACAGCUGGCAGAGCGGAGCUCCAUGGAGAGGUGGGGCAAUCAGCUUUGGACCAAGUAAGGUGCCCCUUUACUCCCCUCCCCCCCAUCUCCACCCAGGUUGGGAGAAAGAAUUCUGCUGAUAAACUUUUGAAAUCUGGGGCUGCCAUGACCAGGGACAGAGGUUGUUGGACUUUUGGGACUUUGGGUUGCUGGACUCAAGAACCAAAGAGAAAGGACACGCCCCAAUUUGCUUGGGGUGGGUUUUUUGCUCAUGGGUUGUGUUAUGAAUUCUGUUGUUGGUGUUUCCCCAACAUAAUGCCACAUUGAGUGUAGCAAAAAGCCUUUUAAUAACAGAGAGAAACAGACUCUGUGCUUGCGAGAGGGAAGUAUUGCCUCUUGGAGGUGCCCAGUGGGGGUGGUAUAUAUUUGUCCCAGGUCACUGGGUGGGGGCUUGAGCCGGUUUUGCACUGUGUUAGUGGAAUGGAACCCCUAGAUACUGAACCCGGCCCUUGUUGCUGCCAACUCUGAUGGGAAGAAGGGUUACAAAUAUAAUUGGAAUAUUUUUAAAAAAGAAAUAAGGUCCUGAGCUUUCAAAGACUUACGCACAUGUUUCACUUUAAGCAUCUGAGUCAUUCUACUGACUUCAAUUGGACUACUUGUUCUUAUCUUUAAGAAUAUGCAUAAGUCUCUUGGGGCCUAAAAUUAUAUGUGCUCACCAAAGAAAAACUAUUUGAUAUAUUCAAUAAUAAAAGUUUUAAAGGUUUAUUCUAGAAAUAAAA